rnacentral:rRNA from 1 species
ACGAAGCACUUGAAACAGAUUCUUCGGAUGAAGUUUCCUGUGACUGAGUGGCGGACGGGUGAGUAACGCGUGGGUAACCUGCCUCAUACAGGGGGAUAACAGUUAGAAAUGGCUGCUAAUACCGCAUAAGCGCACGGCAUCGCAUGAUGCAGUGUGAAAAACUCCGGUGGUAUGAGAUGGACCCGCGUUGGAUUAGCUCGUUGGCAGGGUAACGGCCUACCAAGGCGACGAUCCAUAGCCGGCCUGAGAGGGUGGACGGCCACAUUGGGACUGAGACACGGCCCAGACUCCUACGGGAGGCAGCAGUGGGGAAUAUUGCACAAUGGGGGAAACCCUGAUGCAGCGACGCCGCGUGAGCGAAGAAGUAUUUCGGUAUGUAAAGCUCUAUCAGCAGGGAAGAAAAUGACGGUACCUGACUAAGAAGCCCCGGCUAACUACGUGCCAGCAGCCGCGGUAAUACGUAGGGGGCAAGCGUUAUCCGGAUUUACUGGGUGUAAAGGGAGCGUAGACGGAAUGGCAAGUCUGAUGUGAAAGGCCGGGGCUCAACCCCGGGACUGCAUUGGAAACUGCCAAUCUAGAGUACCGGAGGGGUAAGUGGAAUUCCUAGUGUAGCGGUGAAAUGCGUAGAUAUUAGGAGG